rnacentral:rRNA from 1 species
GAUGACCGCUGCCGGCGUGCCUAACCACAUGCAAGUUGAGCAGAAAUCACUUAAAGAAGCUUCGGUAGACUUAAGAGAUGAGAGCAGCGGACGGGUGAGUAACGCGUGGGAAACCUGCCCUUGACAGGAGGAUAGCCGAGAGAAAUUUCGAUUAAUACUUCAUAAAGCAGAGCAUUCGCAUGGAUGAACUGCCAAAGAAUUAUCGGUCAAGGAUGGUCCCGCGUCUGAUUAGCUGGUUGGUAAGGUAGCGGCUUACCAAGGCGACGAUCAGUAGCCGGCCUGAGAGGGUGAACGGCCACAUUGGAACUGAGACACGGUCCAGACUCCUACGGGAGGCAGCAGUGGGGAAUAUUGCACAAUGGGCGAAAGCCUGAUGCAGCAACGCCGCGUGAAGGAAGAAGGCUUUCGAGUCGUAAACUUCUGUCCAAAGGGAAGAAUAAUGACGGUACCUUUGAAGAAAGCCCGCUC